rnacentral:lncRNA from 10 species
GCUCAUUUCAUGAUUCAACAAUGUGGAUGGAGCUCUUUCCGGUAGUGAAGAUGAUUGCUUCAGAGAGUGCAAAAGAAAACUGGAGAUACUGACCUGUUGUAACCCAGCCUGCAGACUCCAGAAAAGGCGCAGAAAUCCUUGACUUAGCCUGCUGGUAUUCUCCAAAUCAGAAAGUAUCUGCCCUGCAAAAAUGCCUAUGGGAAAUCAUUCAUUUCCUAAAAACUCAUUUUCAUAAUGUAAUUAAUCAUCCUGGACAGAUUUUUCAAAAUUAGCCAUUAUUUUUUCUUGCCUAAUUUCACCUAUUACUGUAAUUUAAGCCAUAUUACUGUGAUUUAAUGUGCUUUUCUUCAGGAUUAUUACUUUAAACAUUGGAAGACGACUUGUUCCAAAUUAGCAAUGUCAUGACCUGAAUGAAUGUACUUAUUCCCUUCGUUAACUCUUAGCUAUUCAUUCUUCCUUGAAAGGAUCUUUCAGUUCCCUUAACUUCCUCUUAUUUGAAUACUCACUGUAAUUUUGUUCAUACAGAACAUAAGGAUCUUUUCUUCCUUUCUGAGAAGUUAGAGCCACCCUUGUUCCAGUUAUAGGAAGUUUUAAUGAGGGUUUUAGGUGUGUGUAUGUAGGGAGAUAAUUUUAUUAUUUUUUUUUAUUCUUGGAGGGGUCAAAAAUUUGACAACCAGCUCUUAAUAUUAUUAAAACUUAGAAAUUUAUUAUAUAUAGCUACAAAUUGUAGCUUGUCUCUAGAACUGUGAAGGACAAAACCAAGAAUGUAGUACUCCUGUAGCAGUGUAUGGGCCCUGAAUUCAGAAUACAUACCUUCUAACUUCUGUAAACAUAACCCAAAAUUAUACUGUUAUUCCUUUUUGCUACUGUACUUUGAAAAUUCAUAACUUCAAAGGCAUAGUAAAAUUCUGAGUGAGCAGAUGUGAUUCAUUAACUUCUCCAUAAUGAGGGAGGCUUCAGCUGGGAAAACAGAAAUAUUCUGUUCUGGUAUCUUCUACCUCUAGGAGAAAACUUUAUAAUUACUUUGAAGUCACUAUGAACAUAGGAAACUUCAGCACAGAUAAAGAAGGGCGAGGAUGUCACUGGAGGAAACAGACAGUGCUUGAGCUCACCAGCCCUUUGCUAUGUCAAUCCUUGUCUACCUUUGAACUAUACCAUCAUGACUUCUCUUCUUGUAACUGAAUGUUGAGUUUCUUGUCUUCAAUUCCUUUUCUUUUUUCUUUUUUUUUUUUUUUUUUAAGACAGAGUCUCCUUCUGUCACCCAGGCUAGAGUGCAGUGGCGUGAUCUUGGCUCACUGCAACCUUCGCCUCCUAGGUUCAAGUGAUUCUCCUGCCUCAGCCUCCCGAGCUGUAAUCCCAGCACUUUGGGAGGCUGAGGCGGGUGGAUCAUGAGGUGAAGAGAUCAAGACCAUCCUGGCCAACAUGGUGAAACCCCAUCUCUACUAAAAAUACAAAAAUUAGCUGGUCAUGGUGGUGCGCGCCUGUAGUCCUACUUCCUUUUCUUUAAGCAGUAAAAACUUUAUUGUUGUUAGCAAUUCAUGCUUCAGUGAACAAGUUUACUGGGACCACAUAUGCCAAACCAAAAAUCAGUCUCUCUCGAUCACAUACAAACAUACAUUUUUUAUUGUGAAAUAUUAUUCACAUAUAAAAUGUAUAUGUAUAGUUUAACAACUAGUUGAAGAAACAUACACUGGUGCAACCAUCAUAUAGGUCACAAAAUGGAAAUUUUCUAGCACUGCAGCAACUGAUCAGUGCAGUCCUUCCUACUCCCAACCCAUCUACCCAUUCAAGAUCACUGCUAUCCCAACUUACACUAAUCAUUUCCUGCUUGUUUUAAAAUAUAUAGUUUUACCAUAUGUACUUUGUUUUCUAAAUUUUUUUUUUUUUUUAGAUGGAGUCUCACUCUGUCGCCACACUGGAAUACAGUGGCACGAUCUUGGCUCACUGCAACCUCUGUCUCCCAGGUUCAAGCGAUUCUCCUGCCUCAGCCUCCC